UUUUCUAGGUCGACUAAUUCUUCGAAAAUUGGUUGUGCAAGGGCUUUUCCUUUGACAAGUAAUAAUGUUGCGUCAAUGAUUUGAGAACGAGGUAAACAUAAAUAUACUACCCGGACAUAUACGUUCAUUGACAAAGGGGAAUCCCUAAUAAGAUUAUCCUUGGGUGUCUCGUGAAGACACUUGUCUCAAUUAUUCUGCAAUUUUACGCGGCACGCUUUCACAGAAUGCAAGCAGGAUGCCAAAGGAGUAAUGCAACCCAUGGACAAUGACUCGUCAACGUGGGACGCUUGAGUAUCGCAAGGUUAAGGAGCCACAUGAGGGCAUAGGCAUCUCUGUGACCGAGUUUUGAUUCCUGCAAUAUACACUUGUUUCAUUAUAAUUUCACCUCAGUCACACGUGAGGAAAGGGCUUUCGAUUUGAAACACCUCACGAACCGCGGUGUCCAACGAAGGUAGAUCUUCAUUGGACAUCAAAUUCCUGACAUGAAAAGCCAUCCAGUGUAAAUAUUAUACGCUCAAGUUUAAGGUUUCUUAAUGUAGUAACAUUAACUCAAAAAGCCCAUCAAGUAGCCCUCGAUAGGCAUGCUUUAUUUCGCCUUCAAAGAGAGACUUUUUGAAAUGAUACAGCUAUAUCCAGCAUGAAUAAAUUAUCGAUGUAUGCAUACAUGCAUUGGCAAUAAUACCAA